GCUCUUAUGAAGUUAGCGGCGGACGGGUGAGUAACACGUGGGUAACCUGCCCAUAAGACUGGGAUAACUCCGGGAAACCGGGGCUAAUACCGGAUAACAUUUUGAACCGCAUGGUUCGAAAUUGAAAGGCGGCUUCGGCUGUCACUUAUGGAUGGACCCGCGUCGCAUUAGCUAGUUGGUGAGGUAACGGCUCACCAAGGCAACGAUGCGUAGCCGACCUGAGAGGGUGAUCGGCCACACUGGGACUGAGACACGGCCCAGACUCCUACGGGAGGCAGCAGUAGGGAAUCUUCCGCAAUGGACGAAAGUCUGACGGAGCAACGCCGCGUGAGUGAUGAAGGCUUUCGGGUCGUAAAACUCUGUUGUUAGGGAAGAACAAGUGCUAGUUGAAUAAGCUGGCACCUUGACGGUACCUAACCAGAAAGCCACGGCUAACUACGUGCCAGCAGCCGCGGUAAUACGUAGGUGGCAAGCGUUAUCCGGAAUUAUUGGGCGUAAAGCGCGCGCAGGUGGUUUCUUAAGUCUGAUGUGAAAGCCCACGGCUCAACCGUGGAGGGUCAUUGGAAACUGG
rnacentral:rRNA from 1 species